UUCUUCUUCUUCUUCUCUCUCUCUCUCUCUCUCUCUCACGAUGCUCGCCCUUUUCUCUUUUCUUUCCUUUUUCCUUCUCCUCAUCUCCCCUCUCUUCCUCCUCCAUUCACGCAUGCACAACCCAUGAGAGAGUUAGACGUUGCAGAUUUUUGGAGAGGGAGAUAGUGAGUGACGCAGAGAAGAAAAGAAGAAAAAGAAAAGAAAGAGAAGUAGGAGAAGAGAAGAAGAAAUGGUUCAUGGGUUCCGGCCAUAGGCUUUUAUGGUGCAUAUGUUAUGAUUGGAGACUUCAACUUGUUCUCCAAUGUUGAGUUCAAGUAAAUAGAAUACUUGGAGUAUUCGAGUCAUGAGUCUUAAGCAGCCAAGGUAUUCUGGUCGUAGUUGAUAGCAUUGUAGAAGGGUACUUUGGAUGUUAUGACUGAAGCACGCCGCAACAGUCGUAAUUGGUGGACCACGGGUUGUCCACUUGUUUAUAGGUUUGGCUUAUGGCUUGUGACGUUUGUGUCACUUAUUCUUGUGAAGCCAUUUCUGAUAUGUAUUUAUUAUGAGGAAAGACUUAAACAAAUAUAUGUAAUAUGGCUCUUUGUGUAUGAUUAUUUAUAAUAGAAGAUUAUGUUAUGAU